rnacentral:rRNA from 1 species
GACGAACCGUGCGAACGUUGUUCGGAAUCACUGGGCUUAAAGGGCGCGUAGGCGGGCUGGCAAGUCAGGGGUGAAAUCCGGCAGCUUAACUGUCGCAGUGCCUUUGAUACUGUCGAGCUCGAGGGAGGUAGGGGUCUGUGGAACUUCCGGUGGAGCGGUGAAAUGCGUUGAUAUCGGAAGGAACGCCGGUGGCGAAAGCGACGGACUGGAUCUCUUCUGACGCUGAGGCGCGAAAGCCAGGGGAGCAAACGGG